AAUAAGAUUAUUUUCGGUUUUCCGUGUCCAACGUUUGACCAUUCGUCUUAUUUGAAAAAAUUUUGUGAUUAAUAUUUUUUCCUUCCUAAUGAUAAAACAUGAAUAUUACUUUAUAUGUGACUAAUUUUUUAAAGUUUUUAUAUAAAUUUUUUAAAUAAGACGAAUGGUCAAACGUUGAACACGGAAAACAACAAAUAAUCUUAUU
rfam:Oryza brachyantha chromosome 10, whole genome shotgun sequence.